CUGUUCACUGGGGUAAAAAUACAGAUUUUAAUACCCGUCUUAUUUUAGUUCUAAGACUUGGCAAUUGCCAGGUAUCAUCUUUUCGAUUUACCCAGGUCCACCGCCGAGGCCACAAGGGAGAUUUCUUCCAGAGAGAGGAUAGAGUUAUUAAGUCUAAAGUCCAUUAUUUGCUUUUGUCCUUCAGGAAAAGAUGGUCCUGACUCUGGGUGGAUCUAACAAGGAUCCUGGAACUCCAAAUAUUUGCAACAGCUGGAGCCCAGCAGGAACAGGGGGGGCACGGCCCGACCCCCCCCAGCGCCUCACCUCCUCCUCCCCUGGGCUCCCUCACGGCCCCUCGCCCCGUGCAAAGGGAGCGCAAACGCAGCCCGGAGGGCAAC